UAGGGAAUCUUCCGCAAUGGACGCAAGUCUGACGGAGCAACGCCGCGUGAGUGAAGAAGGAUUUCGGUUCGUAAAACUCUGUUGUUAGAGAAGAACAGCGCAUAGAGUAACUGUUAUGCGUGUGACGGUAUCUAACCAGAAAGCCACGGCUAACUACGUGCCAGCAGCCGCGGUAAUACGUAGGUGGCAAGCGUUGUCCGGAUUUAUUGGGCGUAAAGCGAGCGUAGGUGGUCAAUUAAGUCGGAUGUGAAAGCCCCCGGCUCAACCGGGGAGGGUCAUUGGAAACUGGUUGACUUGAGUGCAGAAGAGGAGGGUGGAAUUCCAUGUGUAGCGGUGAAAUGCGUAGAUAUAUGGAGGAACACCAGUGGCGAAGGCGACUCUCUGGUCUGUAACUGACGCUGAGGCUCGAAAGCGUGGGUAGCAAACAGG
rnacentral:rRNA from 1 species